UCGUUGCAAGUCAAACGAGAAACUUUUGACGUAGUUCCCCUUUUCUCCUCUCUUCCUAGAAAUCUUCCUUCACGGACAUCUUAUGCUUUUCAACGCUGGAUUACUGUGGCUGUCCCGUCACUCAAACAAGGUUUCUGUCCAACAAUGGUCGGAACGCAGAAAGCAUUUUUCUGGUUAAUCUUUCUGGUCGAUAAAUUGAUUGGAUGAUCAAAGAGGAAGAAAGAGGAAGUUUUGAUGCUGAUAAUGGACAGUAGACAUCAUCCGACUGCCAGCACCGUCAGCCUUGGAGCAGACCAAUGCGCGACUUUAGCUCCGAACAACUUGGAUCGGCGAGCCAAGGUCGAACCGAGGUCAUUUCGAGUUCAGCCAUUAUUCGAUUCAGUCUGCCAGGACCAAAGCUUUGGCCGAGGCAAGCAGCUACACCAAAAGGGCAUUUAGCAGCUUCAAUGCCCCCGUGUUGUCGAGGCCCAUUCGGUUCGAGUCAGGAAAAAUGAAUGCAUCGCCAUUCCUUAGCCAAAAUAGCCGUUUAGCAUAUACCAGACUAAUAUCAUCAUGCGUGAACUUCGCAAGUUUUCAGGCUCGUUUCAGUCGAAGAUUUCAGGCUCGUUUCAGAUUAUAACUGGCGACGCAAAAGUAUUAGUUUUCAGGCCUGUUUCGAUUGUAAACUAAGUAUCGGUCCUUGGGAUAGCUUCUUCUUAUCAGAUCAAA